UUGAAUGAUCCUUACAAUCCAAACUCUUCCUUUCUUUCACAGUUUGCAUUGCUGGAGAGUUCUUCAGUUGAUGAUGAUCUUGCAAGCUUGAAGAAGGAACUAUCUAGGAGCUCAAAGAAAGGAGAGCUGCCACCUGGGAGAACCGCGGUUGCCUCAAACACAGCAUUCCCUUUCCGAGACUCUGAGAUUGAAAAGGAGCUGAAUGAACUGAGGAGAAAAGCAAGUGAGUUCUAGAACCCAUGUUCACACCCCAAAGAUCCACUUUCUACUCCAAGAAAGUUGUGUUUCUUUCACCAGAAAAUUCUGCAAGUACUUUGCAUAACCAUUAACAGUGUACAUUUACCAGUAUCUCCUGAACAAUGUGAGGUAAUCUUCAGCAUUUUAUUGUUGUACAUGAUCCCCUUACAGACUUUCUUUUACUAUGGAUGAUUUUUUUCAUAAUUCUAUAUCAUCUAAUACCAUAUUUAAGUUUUUGGU